rnacentral:rRNA from 1 species
ACGGAGGAUGCGAGCGUUAUCCGGAUUUAUUGGGUUUAAAGGGUGCGUAGGCGGAUUAAUAAGUCAGUGGUGAAAACCUUCAGCUUAACUGGAGACUUGCCAUUGAUACUGUUAGUCUUGAGUACGGUCAAGGUAGGCGGAAUGUGUAAUGUAGCGGUGAAAUGCUUAGAUAUUACACAGAACACCGAUUGCGAAGGCAGCUUACUGGGCCAAUACUGACGCUGAGGCACGAAAGCGUGGGGAGCGAACAGGAUUAGAUACCCUGGUAGUCCACGCCGUAAACGAUGAUCACUCGCUGUUGGCGAUACACAGUCAGCGGCUAAGCAAAAGCAUUAAGUGAUCCACCUGGGGAGUACGGCCGCAAGGCUG